UCCAGGCCCUACGGGGCGCAGCAGGCGCGAAACCUCCGCAAUGUGAGAGAUCGCGACGGGGGGAUCCCAAGUGCCAUUCUUAACGGGAUGGCUUUUCUUAAGUGUAAAAAGCUUUUGGAAUAAGAGCUGGGCAAGACCGGUGCCAGCCGCCGCGGUAACACCGGCAGCUCUAGUGGUAGCUGUUUUUAUUGGGCCUAAAGCGUUCGUAGCCGGUUUGAUAAGUCACUGGUGAAAUCCUGUAGCUUAACUGUGGGAAUUGCUGGUGAUACUGUUGAACUUGAGGUCGGGAGAGGUUAGCGGUACUCCCAGGGUAGAGGUGAAAUUCUGUAAUCCUGGGAGGACCACCUGUGGCGAAGGCGGCUAACUGGAACGAACCUGACGGUGAGGGACGAAAGCUAGGGGCGCGAACCGGAUUAGAUACCCGGGUAGUCCUAGCCGUAAACGAUGCGGACUUGGUGUUGGGAUGGCUUUGAGCCGCUCCGGUGCCGAAGGGAAGCUGUUAAGUCCGCCGCCUGGGAAGUACGGUCGCAAGACUGAAACUUAA
rnacentral:rRNA from 1 species